rnacentral:rRNA from 1 species
UUAAGCGACUAAGCGUACACGGUGGAUGCCCUGGCAGUCAGAGGCGAUGAAGGACGUGCUAAUCUGCGAUAAGCGUCGGUAAGGUGAUAUGAACCGUUAUAACCGGCGAUUUCCGAAUGGGGAAACCCAGUGUGAUUCGUCACACUAUCAUUAACUGAAUCCAUAGGUUAAUGAGGCGAACCGGGGGAACUGAAACAUCUAAGUACCCCGAGGAAAAGAAAUCAACCGAGAUUCCCCCAGUAGCGGCGAGCGAACGGGGAGCAGCCCAGAGCCUGAAUCAGUGUGUGUGUUAGUGGAAGCGUCUGGAAAGGCGCGCGAUACAGGGUGACAGCCCCGUACACAAAAAUGCACAUACUGUGAGCUCGAUGAGUAGGGCGGGACACGUGGUAUCCUGUCUGAAUAUGGGGGGACCAUCCUCCAAGGCUAAAUACUCCUGACUGACCGAUAGUGAACCAGUACCGUGAGGGAAAGGCGAAAAGAACCCCGGCGAGGGGAGUGAAAAAGAACCUGAAACCGUGUACGUACAAGCAGUGGGAGCACGCUUAGGCGUGUGACUGCGUACCUUUUGUAUAAUGGGUCAGCGACUUAUAUUCUGUAGCAAGGUUAACCGAAUAGGGGAGCCGAAGGGAAACCGAGUCUUAACUGGGCGUUAAGUUGCAGGGUAUAGACCCGAAACCCGGUGAUCUAGCCAUGGGCAGGUUGAAGGUUGGGUAACACUAACUGGAGGACCGAACCGACUAAUGUUGAAAAAUUAGCGGAUGACUUGUGGCUGGGGGUGAAAGGCCAAUCAAACCGGGAGAUAGCUGGUUCUCCCCGAAAGCUAUUUAGGUAGCGCCUCGUGAAUUCAUCUCCGGGGGUAGAGCACUGUUUCGGCAAGGGGGUCAUCCCGACUUACCAACCCGAUGCAAACUGCGAAUACCGGAGAAUGUUAUCACGGGAGACACACGGCGGGUGCUAACGUCCGUCGUGAAGAGGGAAACAACCCAGACCGCCAGCUAAGGUCCCAAAGUCAUGGUUAAGUGGGAAACGAUGUGGGAAGGCCCAGACAGCCAGGAUGUUGGCUUAGAAGCAGCCAUCAUUUAAAGAAAGCGUAAUAGCUCACUGGUCGAGUCGGCCUGCGCGGAAGAUGUAACGGGGCUAAACCAUGCACCGAAGCUGCGGCAGCGACGCUUAUGCGUUGUUGGGUAGGGGAGCGUUCUGUAAGCCUGCGAAGGUGUGCUGUGAGGCAUGCUGGAGGUAUCAGAAGUGCGAAUGCUGACAUAAGUAACGAUAAAGCGGGUGAAAAGCCCGCUCGCCGGAAGACCAAGGGUUCCUGUCCAACGUUAAUCGGGGCAGGGUGAGUCGACCCCUAAGGCGAGGCCGAAAGGCGUAGUCGAUGGGAAACAGGUUAAUAUUCCUGUACUUGGUGUUACUGCGAAGGGGGGACGGAGAAGGCUAUGUUGGCCGGGCGACGGUUGUCCCGGUUUAAGCGUGUAGGCUGGUUUUCCAGGCAAAUCCGGAAAAUCAAGGCUGAGGCGUGAUGACGAGGCACUACGGUGCUGAAGCAACAAAUGCCCUGCUUCCAGGAAAAGCCUCUAAGCAUCAGGUAACAUCAAAUCGUACCCCAAACCGACACAGGUGGUCAGGUAGAGAAUACCAAGGCGCUUGAGAGAACUCGGGUGAAGGAACUAGGCAAAAUGGUGCCGUAACUUCGGGAGAAGGCACGCUGAUAUGUAGGUGAAGUCCCUCGCGGAUGGAGCUGAAAUCAGUCGAAGAUACCAGCUGGCUGCAACUGUUUAUUAAAAACACAGCACUGUGCAAACACGAAAGUGGACGUAUACGGUGUGACGCCUGCCCGGUGCCGGAAGGUUAAUUGAUGGGGUCAGCGCAAGCGAAGCUCUUGAUCGAAGCCCCGGUAAACGGCGGCCGUAACUAUAACGGUCCUAAGGUAGCGAAAUUCCUUGUCGGGUAAGUUCCGACCUGCACGAAUGGCGUAAUGAUGGCCAGGCUGUCUCCACCCGAGACUCAGUGAAAUUGAACUCGCUGUGAAGAUGCAGUGUACCCGCGGCAAGACGGAAAGACCCCGUGAACCUUUACUAUAGCUUGACACUGAACAUUGAGCCUUGAUGUGUAGGAUAGGUGGGAGGCUU